GACGAACGCUGGCGGCGUGCCUAAUACAUGCAAGUAGAACGCAGUUGCGAACGGGUGAGUAACGCGUAGGUAACUGCCUCAUAGCGGGGGAUAACUAUUGGAAACGAUAGCCAAUACCGCAUACUGUGAGAUGGACCUGCGUUGUAUUAGCUAGUUGGUGAGGUAAAGGCUCACCAAGGCGACGAUACAUAGCCGACUUGAGAGGGUGAUCGGCCCAACUGGGACUUAAGCCAGGCCCAGACUCCUAAGGGAGGGAGCCGGAGGGAAUUUUCGGAAAUGGAAGGAAAGCUGACCGAGCAACGCCGCGGGGUGGGAGAAGGUUUUCGGAUCGUAAAGCGCUGUUAUUCGAGAAGCGGUAACUAACCAAGAAGGGACGGCUAACUACGUGCCAGCAGCCGCGGUAAUAC
rnacentral:rRNA from 1 species